GCGCCCGUAGCUCAAUUGGAUAGAGUAACUGGCUACGAACCAGUAGGUUGGCCGUUCAAACCGGCCCGGGCGCGCCA
rnacentral:tRNA from 2 species